GCACUGUGUAGAGCCGAUCAGCUCUGCACAUAGCCAAUCAGCAUUGUGUAAAGCCAAUCAGUUGUGCAUACAGCCUCAUCAACUCUAUAGGUUAGGGCACCAAAUUUUUUAUUAAUUUCUCAUAAUUUUUCACACAUUUCAAAAAAGUAGCACGUAUAUCAAGUCUCUAAGUUAUAGAAAAUAAAGUUUAAGCCAAAGAAUUACCUCUCUGACGGCUAAAAAUGUGCGGUGGAUAUUCAAUUUCACUAGAAGAGGAAUCUCCUCCCUUCAUAAGCCCAACAUCAUUCUGGCGAGAAAUUAGAGCACAAAAUUCUCAAUUUGGUGCAAUCGGCAUGCAUCCAGCAAAUCUAGAAUAUGAGCUUGCCAUCUUGAGACUGAUCUCACAAGAUUUGAUUAAGAAUUUGGUAAGAAAUUGCAAAAAGAGUAAAGAAGGAUUUUGAGAGAGAAGUAAAAGAAAAU
rnacentral:lncRNA from 1 species